UACAGAGGGUGCAAGCGUUAAUCGGAAUUACUGGGCGUAAAGCGUGUGUAGGUGGUUUGCUAAGUCAGGUGUGAAAUCCCCGGGCUCAACCUGGGAACUGCAUUUGAUACUGGCAGGCUAGAGUGUGGUAGAGGAUAGUGGAAUUCCCGGUGUAGCGGUGAAAUGCGUAGAUAUCGGGAGGAACAUCAGUGGCGAAGGCGGCUAUCUGGACUAACACUGACACUGAGACACGAAAGCGUGGGGAGCAAACAGG
rnacentral:rRNA from 1 species